CUAGUGUAGGCACGACUUCAGCUUUUCGAGAUCAUCGCUGUCAAAUUUGGGAGGCCUGAAGACAUGUUUCCUAUAGUUUAGAUGACAGUCCCUUCAUUGUUCAAAAUGCAUUAUUUUUUGCCUGCAAGUUUCCUCAUGGAAUCACCAACGUAACAUGCUCUUUACCUUGGUGUUUGGUGGCCUAAAAGUUCAUUAGAUGACAAUCGGUACAUCUCCCAGACUUGAUUCUAUGUGUCUUGAUCGUGAACCUAGUUGUUGUGAUCUCAUGAACUUAUUUUGUUGUAACUUCGUUGAUUGUGGUGUACUUUCUUGGAAUAAUAAUGACAUGUCAUUUGUUCUAUGAUGAAA